AUUGAACGCUGGCGGCAUGCCUUACACAUGCAAGUCGAACGGCAGCACGGGGCCUCGUACCUCUUGGCGAGUGGCGAACGGGCGAGUAAUACAUCUGUACAUGUCCUGCAGUUGGGGAUAGCUCGGCGAAAGCCGGAUUAAUACCGCAUACGUACCGCCGCUGAAAGCGGGGGACGGUCCUGCCUCGCGCUAUCGGGCUGGCCGAUGCCGGAUUAGCUAGUUGGUGGGGUAAAGGCCUACCAAGGCGACGAUCAGUAGCUGGUCUGAGAGGACGACCAGCCACACUGGAACUGAGACACGGCCCAGACUCCUACGGGAGGCAGCAGUGGGGAAUUUUGGACAAUGGGCGAAAGCCUGAUCCAGCAAUGCCGCGUGUGUGAAGAAGGCCUUCGGGUUGUAAAGCACUUUUGGCCGGAAAGAAAGGCUUAGCGCUAAUACGGUCGGGGAAUGACGGUACCGGAAGAAUAAGCACCGGCUAACUACGUG
rnacentral:rRNA from 1 species